rnacentral:rRNA from 1 species
UACGUAGGGGACCAAGCGUUGUCCGGAAUCAUUGGGCGUAAAGCGCGCGUAGGUGGCCAUUUAAGUCCGCUGUGAAAGUCAGAGGCUCAACCUUUGAAAGCCGGUGGAUACUGGAUGGCUAGAGUACGGAAGAGGCGAGUGGAAUUCCUGGUGUAGCGGUGAAAUGCGCAGAUAUCGGGAAGAACACCCGUGGCGAAGGCGGCACUCUGGGACGGUACUGACGCUGAGACGCGAAAAGCGUGGGGAG